AUGACAAAAAAUCUUCUGAAAUGGAACAAUCACCUCAGCAAACAAGGGGAACAAACAAAUGAGAGCACACCUCUACAUUUGGCAGCCUCAUGUGGGUUUCUUGAAACAGUAAAGUGUCUACUAGACGCUGAGGAAUCUCUUGCAUAUCAGUGCGACGACAAGGGGUCAUUCCCCAUACAUGAGGCGGUUAAGGAAAAGCAAGUCAGUGUAGUUUGCACCUUGCUCAAAAUUUGCCCGGACUGCGCCCAGCUACGUGAUGCCGAGGGCAAGACCUUCCUCCAUGUAGCUGCCAAACAAGGCUACGCAAAACUAUUUCCUCCUGUUUUACAGGUUUUAUUACAAGAAAAGCAGAUGUUUGCAGCCAUCAUGAAUAUGCAGGAUGAUGAUGGCAACACUGGGUUGCACCUUGCUGUCGAGGCCGGAAUUUUAGAAACGGUGUGCUUUUUACUGUGGGACAAGGAAGUUAUGUUAAAUUUAUCAAAUAACGAGAGGGAAACUGCACUGGAUCUUUCACAGCGCAUGCGGACCCCAGGUGUCCUUUUUGGUUUGGUCCGACGGGUUUCGAUCCACAAACUUUUAGUGCAUGCUGAUGCUCAGUACGGUGUUCAUAGUAAAACCCGCAUCCCUGAACUAAAUGAGGAGAAGGAAGAAAAAAGGAUCUCGGAUUCGACACAGACCAUUGGGGUUGUGUCAGCGCUACUCGUGACGAUUUCCUUUGCGGUAGCUUUCACCAUACCCGGAGGCUAUCGAACAGAUGAUGACCCUAAGGUCGAUAAUAUUAAGGGCGGCAUGCCGGUGCUUGUCACAAGCCACUCUCUUCAGGCAUUCAUUAUCGCCAACAACCUGGCGUUGCUCUGCUCCGCCAUGGCCACCAUCAGCCUCAUGUACGCCGGAGUGACCACUGUCGACAUCAGCAUGCGCAUGAAAGCCUUCGUCAUGUCCAUCUUCUUCCUCAACAGCUCAGCCCGAACGCUGGCUGCGGCGUUUGCGUUGGGCAUGUACGCGACGCUGGUUCCUGCGGCUGGCGCAGCAGUUACUCUUACGGUUAUAGGCACCACUAUCACGCUGCUUGACGUUGCUUGGUUCACGUACAUGACAUCCAAGGAUCAGCUAGUGCUUCGGAAGAGGAUGGGUGUUGGCGUGGCCUUGAAAUGGUUUGCGCUUUUGGUCCUACGUGGGGUGCUGGCGUGUCUCUGGCCGUACGUCAUAAUCGGCGGUUUCUUAGCCUAUAUUACAUUAUGGAGUAAGUGA
rnacentral:rRNA from 1 species